CUCCUUAAAGGAAUUAUCCACCCCCAGAAAUAGAAAUCAUGAAAGUCAUAUCAAUUUGGUGAAAGCCUAUGUUCUAUCAGUGGGUAAAAUAAAACAAUUCCACAUGAUUUAACUUCUAAAUUGUCCAUCUGUAAAAAUCUGGAAAUCGUGUAGGAACACGUCAUAGUUACAUAAUUCUCGUCACUGGAGAUAGGGGUUAACACACUAUCACAUUUCAUAACGCUUUUAACAAUUACCUGCACUCCAUAUCACCAAAUUAGCCAAUAGAUGGUAUGGGCAUACUAGUCUAGAACACAUCCAUCUGUUUAUAUAGUCAUGACAAUGCAUAUAUUUCACAUAGAUGUGCUCAAUCUAAACAGUGUACCAAAUUAUUCAACUCCGUUUCUCCUUCAAGCACUGUAUGCUGUCUGUGGGAAACAGAGAUAUUACAGAAAGGAGGUGAUAGGAAUCCUGUUGGGCAAUGAAUGGAGAAAGUUACCACCCAACUGACUGUCAACCCAUCACAUUCAUGUUGUCAUGCUGCGUCACGCGGCUGCUAAACUAAUCGUUACGCAAUCCCUUCUCAAAGUCAGGCUAUGAGUCGAGAAACCUGCCUAUUUUCCUCGAAGGUACGUUAUGUCAUGAUUCCAAAGCUAUACGAUAUUACAGAGAACAAGUUAAUUAUCUCACAUCUUGGAAAAACUUGUACACGAAAUUCAUGCUAAAGUUCGGUUUUUGAGCUAGCACCCAAUUGAUUCCCAUUCACUCCUUGAAGGAGAGCUCUCCUUGUCCCAGAAUCGGCCAGAAUGCACCGCGCGGCCCAUUGACGACGCAUGGGCAAUGUACACAAUGGGUGUUAAUACGAUUCUAAUGGAGUUUCCCCAUCUCCUCAAAAGUAUCUAUGUGGGAAGGAAACAUACUCUGCUCUCGCUCUGGGCAGAGACGAACUGCAAGUUGAACUCGAUAUAGAAGACUGAGGGCCAUCCAACGAACUGAACCAGGACUCCUGCUAAAGGCAUGGCAAUCACAGCACCUGCAUAGGAACCUGGAAACAAGGAAAAGGGAAAUAUGACCAUGCCACUGUUGUAGUUCUGUUCUGUCUGAAUGAGGUGGUGGCCAGUCGACUUCUCUCCAGGGGAGGAGCCCAUUUGGCCCACAUCCCAUGGCAUGCAGGGAGUGAGAUCAUUAGCAGUGGGAAGGCCUAACCUGUUGGCGGCCAGCUUGUUGGAGAUGAAGCCUCCAGGGAUCUGUGUGACGAUGUA